AUACGUAGGGGACGAGCGUUGUCCGGAAUUACUGGGCGUCAAGGGCGCGCAGGCGGAUAUUUAAGUCAGCUGUAAAAGGCAUGAGCUCAACUCAUGUAUGCGGUUGAAACUGGGUAUCUAGAGUGCUGGAGAGGUAGGCGGAAUUCCCGGGGUAGCGGUGAAAUGCGUAGAUAUCGGGAAGAACACCAGUGGCGAAGGCGGCUUACUGGCCAGCAACUGACGCUGAGGCGCGAAAGCCAGGGGAGCGAACGGGAUUAGAUACCCCGGUAGUCCUGGCAGUAAACGAUGUAUGCUGGGUGUGGGAGUAGCGAUACCUCCGUGCCGAAGUUAACGCGAUAAGCAUACCGCCUGGGGAGUACGGUCGCAAGAUUGAAACUCAAAUGAAUUGGCGGGG
rnacentral:rRNA from 1 species